rnacentral:tRNA from 1 species
UAGAGAGUGGUGUAGUCGGGAAGCACCGAGGUUUUUGAUACCUCAGGCAAGGGUUCGAGCCCCUUUUUUCUAA